AUGCAUCUAUUUGACAGAGCUGGAGCAGUUACUGUCUGCUGCUAAGAUUCUAGUGCAGAUGCAAGAAAAAAGGGUCCUUGCACGUUUUGUCUGAUUGUGGCAGCCAAGAUUGAAUGCGGGACUACGGGA
rnacentral:snoRNA from 1 species